UACAGAGGUCCCGAGCGUUGUUCGGAUUCACUGGGCGUAAAGGGUGCGUAGGUGGUUGGGUAAGUUUGAUGUGAAAGCUCAGGGCUUAACCCUGAAAUGGCAUUGAAUACUACUUAACUGGAGGUUUGGAGAGGAGACUGGAAUUCAUGGUGUAGCAGUGAAAUGCGUAGAGAUCAUGAGGAAGACCAGUGGCGAAGGCGGGUCUCUGGACAGUUCCUGACACUGAGGCACGAAGGCCAGGGGAGCAAACGGG
rnacentral:rRNA from 1 species